AACGAACGCUGGCGGCAUGCCUAACACAUGCAAGUCGAACGAGACCUUCGGGUCUAGUGGCGCACGGGUGCGUAACGCGUGGGAACCUGCCCUUAGGUUCGGAAUAACUCCCCGAAAGGGGUGCUAAUACCGGAUAAUGUCUUCGGACCAAAGAUUUAUCGCCUUUGGAUGGGCCCGCGUUGGAUUAGCUAGUUGGUAGGGUAAAAGCCUACCAAGGCGACGAUCCAUAGCUGGUCUGAGAGGAUGAUCAGCCACACUGGGACUGAGACACGGCCCAGACGAAUACCGGAGGAGGGAAUGGGGAGGAUGAGACGAGGGGCGGAAGGCUGAGACAGCAUUGCCGCGGGAAUAAUGAGGACGUUAGGGGGGAAAAACUCUCGUGCCAAGGCGGCGAAGGAAACGGCGGGGAGAAACGGACACGCCCACCUCGACU
rnacentral:rRNA from 1 species